CACAUGGAGGGAGGUCACUUUGAGUGGCAGGCACCGUGUCCCCACUGUGGAGGUGGUGCAGGUAAGAAGAGGAGAUGCAGGAAUAAAUGCCACGUGCAAUGGAGGAUGGGAUCAGAAUGAAAUGUGGGGCGGAAAGGAUUCCCUUAGAAAGGAAUAGGAAGAAGAGAGCUGGCUUCCGCUUAAGGGAGACAUGUCCAGCCUGGAGGUUCGAGCGCCAGUGGGGAAAAUAUCAGACAGAUUCCAAUAGAGGCACAUUCUGCAAAGUACCUGCCUGGUACCCCUCAAGACCGUCAAGGUCAUUGACAACACGGAGAGUUCUCAGGUACCGUCAGAACCAAGAGAAGCCUAAGGAGGCAGGACAGCAGUCCACGUGACCCUGCGUGCGUGCCUGCUAAGUCAAUUCAAUCGUCCGACUCUUUGCGACCCCAUGGACUGUAUCCCACCAGGAUCCUCUGUCCAUGAGAUUCUCCAGACAAGAAUAGUGGAGUGGGUUAUCAUGCCCUCCUCCAGAGGAUCUUCCCGACCCAAGGAUGGAACCUGCGUUCUCUCACGUCUCCUGCAUUGACAAGCCGAUUGUUUACCACACCUGCGAAGCCCUCCAUGUGGCCCUAAACCACCAACAAUUUGAAUGUCCCAAACAAUCGUCUUCGUGAAUCUCUUGUUCCAUACUUACAGCAACUUGAUUCAUUCUUAUUUUAACUCCUUAUGU